AUUUACUAUCUAAACAAACUGGACAAAGAAGAGUCUAAGAAGAAUAUUUAAACUGUGCAAACUUUUUAAAGUAUCAGUGAGAACUUUAGAAGUGCCCGUGUAUGUGCAAGAAUGGAGGGGUUUGUUAGAAACUUUACCUGUUCUUUGAGUCAUAGGAGGGCUUAGGAUAGAGCAGGAGCAGGGGCCAAACCUUAGCAAGAGAUUCUCCUAAACUAUUCAUGCCAAGGGAAUCCUCUACCAGCUCCCAUCUGCUACCCUGAAAAGUGUCUCUGGCUUGUCAGUUUAUUAACCUGGCCUUAGGCUGUCUUACCACACAUUCAGGCAGAGCAAGGGGUUGGCCAGGCCAAAAACCAGGGCUAACAGGAUAAAAAACAAAAUUAAUGUGACAAAAUGACAAAACAAAAUCUCUGGAUCCAAAUUUUUAUGGGGCACUACUCAGAUAAUUUGCAAACCCUGCAGGGUUUUCCAAUUACCACUUUUUUUUUUUUAAUGUCUUCCUUAUACCCUAUCCUUCCUGUUGGUCCUGCUUUGGGCAUUGGCUCCAAAAUUAAUUGGACUUUUGGGUUUUUGUUUCUGCCGGGGAGGGCGAUAUAAAACCUUUGAAUCAAGCGUUCAAUGGAGUGUGAUGCCCACGUGUCUGCCACAUUCUUUCCUCUGCCCAUUCAUGUGUUUACCUAGCCGUCACCCCCCAAAGAGGACGGAAGUUGGGUCAUUCUCCUAAAAAGAGUCAUAAGGAAGUAUGAUGAUCAGUUCACAGGAAAUUGAGAUGCAACAACAUCCCACCCAAGCCAUGAGUGGAAAGACUUACUACAGCCCUGGAGAAGCACAUUUAUUUGGAGUCUAGGGUCCUGUUCUGUGAUUUGCUCUAAAGUGCUAUUUCUCUUUGCACUAAUUCACUUGUAAACUGAAAAAAAUUCUUUAAGAGCUGUGAAAAGAUGGACUUCUCAAUAUAGUUUCUUCCGUUACACAUUGAGUCCAGAGAGCCUUAAAAACAAAAUCCCAUGGAAAUCAUAUUAUUUGUCCAAAAAUAUCCUCAGAAGAUAAUUGUGCCAUCUCAGGAUAUCUGGAAAAAUAGCAGGGAAGAUCACCAAGCAACUGCUGCAUUCUUUUUCUUCUAUUUAAAUCUUUAGAUCUUCAUCCUUCCUUGCCUCCCAGAGACUCCAGGUAGAAGGAGCAAACACGAAAAUCAAAAGCUCAGAGAUACAAUGACUGCUCAUCUAAGAGCGUCUCCCUUCUCCAGACUUCAUCUCAGGAUCCUGGAUCCUCUUCCCCAAUUCAGCCUCAGUAAAACCAGUUGGUACUUGUGCUUUAUUCACCCUAUCCUCAUCUACUAGCUUAUUCUGCCACAGCUCUUAGUUUCUUCAAAAGAACUCCAGCAUCAGAAAUGGUACCCUCGGGUCAAAUACAGCCUGCCUGACCCUGGGGUUUAGACCACUUGGUACUUGAAGGGGGAAAAAAAAU
ensembl:lncRNA